rnacentral:rRNA from 1 species
UACGGAGGGAGCUAGCGUUGUUCGGAAUUACUGGGCGUAAAGCGCACGUAGGCGGCUAUUCAAGUCAGAGGUGAAAGCCCGGGGCUCAACCCCGGAACUGCCUUUGAAACUAGAUAGCUAGAAUCUGGAGAGGUCAGUGGAAUUCCGAGUGUAGAGGUGAAAUUCGUAGAUAUUCGGAAGAACACCAGUGGCGAAGGCGACUGACUGGACAAGUAUUGACGCUGAGGUGCGAAAGCGUGGGGAGCAAACAGG